GGACGAACUCAGCAACACCAGUUUGGUGGUACAUCAUUGUGUCUGUGGGUUUAGCAGCGCUCUCAAUAACUGUUGUGGCAGUCAACAUAUGGACUAGAUUUAAGGUGCAUAAAGAUAAAGAUGAAGGAGCAGUAAUCUAUGAAAAUGGGUCAGUCAGACUCCGCUGAUCAACAGCAAAAAUCUUUCUCAUCUGCAUCUGGUUCAGAUCACAGAAGCUGGAUUUUAUCUUUUCUUUUCUUUUAUCUAGAAUAGAUUAAAAUAGAAUAGUCUUUAUUUACCCCAGUGCUGAAAAAUCCAGUUUUUACUUCCUUAUUAGCUUCCAUACUUUU